AAUCCCUGGAGAAAAGAUUAACUUCAGCUUUAAUUAAAAAGGAAGCGGUCGAUAAAGAGAAGUUAGAAAAAGAAGUGGCACUUGCAUACCAAAAAAGCCAGAUGGAAGAGUUGGUAAAAGAGUCAAAGAGACUGGAUGAAGAAGCAACGGAGAACUUUUUGUUGCAGGAGUUCCUCACGGAUCGUGGCCAUGUUGUCAAUAUGUUACAAGAAGAGGUAUCUUGUAAAUGCCAGGAUUUGGACCUACUAAAAGUGGAGCUUGAAGUUUAUCAAGAUGAAAAUGAAAAAUCGGUCACUGAAGAUUAUUUGAGGCCAAUA